UACGUAGGGGGCAAGGCGUUGUCCGGAUUUAUUGGGCGUAAAGAGCGUGUAGGCGGCCAUACAGGUCCGUUGUGAAAACUGGAGGCUUAACCUCCAGACGUCGAUGGAAACCGUAUGGCUAGAGUCCGGAAGAGGAGAGUGGAAUUCCUGGUGUAGCGGUGAAAUGCGCAGAUAUCAGGAAGAACACCCGUGGCGAAGGCGGCUCUCUGGGACGGUACUGACGCUGAGACGCGAAAGCGUGGGGAGCGAACAGG
rnacentral:rRNA from 1 species